UGUCAAGAUAGAGGCGCAAAAGUCAAAAAUUCUUCAUUCAAAAGAUGCAACUGUGAAGAAGGCGGGGCGAUUGCCGAAGGAGUAAUGAUUUGCAUGUUAUUAUUUCCUGGGAGUAUAGAGAAUAUCUAUGCUACUGUCACUUUAUAAUAUUAAAGUGGGGUGCUAUUGCGUUG
rfam:Coprobacillus sp. 29_1 genomic scaffold supercont1.3, whole genome shotgun sequence.